rnacentral:rRNA from 1 species
UACGUAGGGGGCAAGCGUUGUCCGGAAUCAUUGGGCGUAAAGCGCGUGUAGGCGGCUUGGUAAGUCUGCUGUGAAAGUCCAAGGCUCAACCUUGGGAUGCCGGUGGAUACUGUCGAGCUCGAGUCCGGAAGAGGAGUGUGGAAUUCCUGGUGUAGCGGUGAAAUGCGCAGAUAUCAGGAGGAACACCAAUGGCGAAGGCAGCACUCUGGGACGUGACUGACGCUGAGACGCGAAAGCGUGGGGAGCAAACAGG